rnacentral:rRNA from 1 species
UACGUAUGGUGCAAGCGUUAUCCGGAUUUACUGGGUGUAAAGGGAGCGCAGGCGGCACGGCAAGCCUGAUGUGAAAGCCCGCGGCCCAGCCGCGGGACUGCAUUGGGAACUACCGGGCUGGAGUGCCGGAGAGGUAGGCGGAAUUCCUAGUGUAGCGGUGAGAUGCGUAGAUAUUAGGAGGAACACCAGUGGCGAAGGCGGCCUACUGGACGGUGACUGACGCUGAGGCUCGAAAGCGUGGGGAGCAAACAGG